CCGACUCCAAAUUAUUUCCAAAUAAUAUAGAACCUUUAGCUCUUGAUAGUUUUACUAUUCUAACCUAAGGAGGCUCAUUGACAAGCCACCCUCAGGUCUGCAAUUUUUCAGGCAAGACCAAAUUAAAGUUCAGAAAUCAUAACUAGUCAACAAAAAUUAAAAAUUGGCACGAACAAGAAAGCACAAAUUAUCACUGAUGUCUGAGGAAUCAAGUAGAUUCACAACAUUUAAAGGGAGUCACAGUAAUUCCUAACAAACAAACCAAGGUACCUUCUCCAGGGUGCCUUUUAAGCAUCUAAAUCACUGAAUCUUGCAUCAAAGCCCUGGUAGAUAUCGAUAGAACAGAAAACAUUGCACUGAAAGAACUGCCAAGAUAUAGAUCUCCCAAAAUCAGCAAUCUUCUCUGCAACUUCAACCAUGCCAAUCUCCGAAGCACCGUGAUGAAUGGGUGGCUCAAUGCCUGGGAAACAGUCAUUCUCUUUUCUGGAUCUAACACAAAAAUUCUCUCCAUAAGAUCUUUGAAGUGAGCCAACAUCUUUGGGUCUUCACCUGGAGAGCCAGAAAUUAUUGAACUGAUAUCUUUUGGCUUAAUAUUAACAAUCAGCUUCCUUAUAGCCUUCUUUGUAACAGGAUCCUCUUCGAUGGCAAGAAAAUUGAGAUCUUGGUCAAAAUGUUGUUCUGUAAAUGCACCCUUUCUAAGCAUCUUUUUUGGAAAUGGACCUUUCAAUUCCAUAUGAAGACGAAGCAUGUCAUUAUUAGUUGGACCUGGAAAUAAUACUUUCCCAGCAUAGAGCUCAAACAAACAGCAACCCACUGACCAUAUAUCCAUCGGGUGAUCAUACGACAAUCCAAGAAUGAUCUCUGGGGCACGGUAAAAACGGCUCACGAGGUAUGGAGUAAUUUCAUUUUUUCCAGCAAACAUAGCAUUACCAAAGU
rnacentral:misc_RNA from 1 species